GGAGGCAGCAGUGGGGGAUUUUGCACAAUGGGUGAAAGCCUGAUGCAGCGACGCCGCGUGAGGGAAGACGGUUUUUCGGAAUGUAAACCUCUGUCUUCGGGGACGAAAAUGACGGUACCCGAGGAGGAAGCCACGGCUAACUACGUGCCAGCAGCCGCGGUAAUACGUAGGUGGCAAGCGUUGUCCGGAAUUACUGGGUGUAAAGGGAGAGUAGGCGGGGCUGCAAGUCUGUUGUUAAAUCCAUCGGCUCAACCGGUGGCUGCGGCAGAAACUGUAGUUCUUGAGUGAAGUAGAGGCAGGCGGAAUUCCUAGUGUAGCGGUGAAAUGCGUAGAUAUUAGGAGGAACACCAGUGGCGAAGGCGGCCUGCUGGGCUUUAACUGACGCUGAGGCUCGAAAGUGUGGGGAGCAAACAGGAUUAGAUACCCUGGUAGUCCACACUGUAAACGAUGAUUACUAGGUGUGGGGGGACUGACCCCUUCCGUGCCGGAGUAAACACAAUAAGUAAUCCACCUGGGGAGUACGGCCGCAAGGUUGAAACUCAAAGGAAUUGACGGGGGCCCGCACAAGCAGUGGAGUAUGUGGUUUAAUUCGAAGCAACGCGAAGAACCUUACCAGGUCUUGACAUCGUGCGCAUAGUAUAGAGAUAUAUGAAGUCCUUCGGGACGCAUAGACAGGUGGUGCAUGGUUGUCGUCAGCUCGUGUCGUGAGAUGUCGGGUUAAGUCCCUCAACGAGCGCAACCCUUACGAUUAGUUGCUACGCAAGAGCACUCUAAUAGGACUGCCGUUGACAAAACGGAGGAAGGUGGGGAUGACGUCAAAUCAUCAUGCCCCUUAUGACCUGGGCUACACACGUACUACAAUGGGUGGUACAGAGGGCAGCCAAGUCGUGAGGCGGAGCUAAUCCCUUAAAGCCAUUCUCAGUUCGGAUUGUAGGCUGAAACUCGCCUACAUGAAGCUGGAGUUACUAGUAAUCGCAGAUCAGAAUGCUGCGGUGAAUGCAUUCCCGGGUCUUGCACUCACCGCCCGUCAA
rnacentral:rRNA from 1 species